CUGAACCAAACCAUCAUACUGGUAAUUACCAAAAAUUCAGGAAUAUCUUGUUAGAGACAUCUUCCAUUCAACAUGUAUCAUUCCCACUGUAACCACAGAUGCUGCUGGAUUGAUCUGGUUUCUUUUAGUCGUUGUAAACUUUCCUCUUUUGUUCUUGUCACUCUAGCUCCCUCUCUCUCUCUUUUGCUUAUCUUUAGACAUAUUAAAAUGAUAUUGAUCAGACAGGCAUGUAUCCAUUUAUCCAUGUCUUGUUAUCUUUCCUUUUUUUCUCACUCCUAUACGCUGUAAUGAUGAUACAAUGAUGAAAUGCAGCCGGUACACUUUGUGAGAUGUUUGAUGCUAAAAAGGAGAAAGAUCAUUAAGGGUUGAUGUAAUAAAGUUCUAGCAAGGGAAGUGGCCGAUCAUAUCGUCAGAUGAAAAACUCUGAGAUUUGGACACUGAAGACAUUUUUGAUCUCAUGGGUGAAAUCUCCCUGAAAAGUCAUUAAUUUAAGAUGACAGAAGAACGAAAAACAAAAUUUGCUACAAGAAACGUGCAGUACCUCUAAA